rfam:Triticum aestivum genome assembly, contig: Triticum_aestivum_CS42_TGACv1_scaffold_210467_3AS
AUAGUACUCCCUCCAUCCCAGAAUUCGUGUCUUAGAUUUGUCUAGAUAUGGAUGUACCUAAUACUAAAAUGUGACUUGAGACAUCCGUAUUUAGAAAAAUCUAAGACAAGAAUUUUGGGAUGGAGGGAGUAUCAA